AUUGAACGCUGGCGGAAUGCUUUACACAUGCAAGUCGAACGGCAGCACGGGUGCUUGUACCUGGUGGCGAGUGGCGAACGGGUGAGUAAUACAUCAGAACGUACCCAGUCGUGGGGGAUAACGUAGCGAAAGUUACGCUAAUACCGCAUACGUCCUGAGGGAGAAAGCGGGGGACCGGACGGCCUCGCGCGAGUGGCGCGGCCGAUGGCGGAUUAGCUAGUUGGUGGGGUAAAGGCCUACCAAGGCGACGAUCCGUAGCGGGUCUGAGAGGACGGCCCGCCACACUGGAACUGAGACACGGUCCAGACUCCUACGGGAGGCAGCAGUGGGGAAUUUUGGACAAUGGGCGAAAGCCUGAUCCAGCCAUUCCGCGUGAGUGAAGAAGGCCUUUGGGUUGUAAAGCUCUUUCGGCAGGGAAGAAACGGCUUGGGAUAAUACCCCGGGCUAAUGACGGUACCUGAAGAAGAAGCACCGGCUAACUACGUGCCAGCCGCCGCAGUAA
rnacentral:rRNA from 1 species